rnacentral:snRNA from 1 species
AGUCACACGAGGCAGAUGAAAGUCCACGACCAUGAAGGUGGUUUGUUCAGGGUAGGACUCAUCCCGAUGUGUUCCUCCUGUGUUGGUCCCUGUGAUUUCCUCAAAUGAAAGAAACUCAACCUCAUAGUUUGUGGUAGUGAAGGGCAGUGGUGCUUAUACUUUCU